UACGUAGGCAGCGAGCGUUGUUCGGAGUUACUGGGCGUAAAGGGUGUGUAGGCGGUUGUUUAAGUUUGGUGUGAAAUCUCCCGGCUCAACUUGGAGGGUGCGCCGAAUACUGAAUGACUAGAGUGCGGGAGAGGAAAGUGGAAUUCCUGGUGUAGCGGUGAAAUGCGUAGAUAUCAGGAGGAACACCGGUGGUGUAGACGGCUUUCUGGACCGUAACUGACGCUGAGACACGAAAGCGUGGGUAGCAAACAGG
rnacentral:rRNA from 1 species